UCCAGGGAUUGUCCAAGUUUUCAGAAGCUAUGAGCCAAGUAAUGUCUCUUAAAGCCAUAGGAUUAUCAAAUGAAACCAGUGCAGAUCCUUUUUUUAUUGAGAGGUCAGAGAUAUUCUACAUGCGUGGUGCUGAAACUGGAAGAAUGUCUCUAAUGAUGUUGGAAGAGCAUGCUGAAGAGUAGAUACUGGACUUUUUUUUUUUAAUUUGCAGGAUUCAACCCCAUCACCACAGGAUUCUUCCCACUGGCCAGCCAACAAGAGAAAGAGUCUGUCAUUCAUUGGUUGGCUCAUCUCUUGGCUCAGUGUUGCCAAGUGAUAGGAAAAGUACUGGGAAGAAGGAGUGUUAAGAUGUGAGCUGCAUCCACAGACAUAUGUGUGAUUAAUGGAUCAGCAAGCUCACCGGGAUCCAGGAAUUGCCAAAAGACAUUUUUUGUCAGAAAAACAGAGAGGAAGUACAGUGCACUCAGCUUCAUUGGAAACUGUCCCCACCUGCAAUUAAAAGGAAGAUGGGAAUAUAAUUCACCAAACACACUUGAAGCAGAUGUCAUUUGGCUAGCUGACAAAAAGACUAGACAAUUGGAUUUUUAUGGCUAUAGCAGAAUAUCAAGGAGGCAACACACCAUUACAAAAUACGUUCUUGAAGGGAUACUGCGUUUCCAACAUACUUGUUUUGCAUUAUUGAUGCCCAAGCAUUGAAAACAC